UAGAGUUUGAUCCUGGCUCAGAUUGAACGCUGGCGGCAGGCCUAACACAUGCAAGUCGAACGGUAACAGGAAGAAGCUUGCUUCUUUGCUGACGAGUGGCGGACGGGUGAGUAAUGUCUGGGAAACUGCCUGAUGGAGGGGGAUAACUACUGGAAACGGUAGCUAAUACCGCAUAACGUCGCAAGACCAAAGAGGGGGACCUUCGGGCCUCUUGCCAUCGGAUGUGCCCAGAUGGGAUUAGCUAGUAGGUGGGGUAACGGCUCACCUAGGCGACGAUCCCUAGCUGGUCUGAGAGGAUGACCAGCCACACUGGAACUGAGACACGGUCCAGACUCCUACGGGAGGCAGCAGUGGGGAAUAUUGCACAAUGGGCGCAAGCCUGAUGCAGCCAUGCCGCGUGUAUGAAGAAGGCCUUCGGGUUGUAAAGUACUUUCAGCGGGGAGGAAGGGAGUAAAGUUAAUACCUUUGCUCAUUGACGUUACCCGCAGAAGAAGCACC
rnacentral:rRNA from 1 species